GAUGAAGAACGAAGCGAAAUGCGAUAAGUAAUGUGAAUUGCAGAAUUCAGUGAAUCAUCGAAUCUUUGAACGCACAUUGCGCCCCCUGGUAUUCCGGGGGGCAUGCCUGUCCGAGCGUCAUUACAACCCUCAAGCUCAGCUUGGUGUUGGGCCCCGCCGCCCCGGCGGGCCCUAAAGUCAGUGGCGGUGCCGUCCGGCUCCGAGCGUAGUAAUUCUUCUCGCUCUGGAGGUCCGGUCGUGUGCUUGCCAGCAACCCCCAAUUUUUUUCAGGUUGACCUCGGAUCAGGUAGGGAUACCCGCUGAACUUAAGCAUAUCAAUAAGCGGAGGA
rnacentral:misc_RNA from 1 species